UUAGAGUUUGAUCCUGGCUCAGGAUGAACGCUAGCGAUAGGCCUAACACAUGCAAGUCGAGGGGCAGCACAUGACGUAGCAAUACAGAUGGUGGCGACCGGCGCACGGGUGAGUAACACGUAUGCAACCUACCUUCAACAGGGGAAUAACCCGUCAAAAGACGGACUAAUACCCCAUAAUACAGGGCUCCCUCAUGGGAAUAUUUGUUAAAGAUUUAUCGGUUGAAGAUGGGCAUGCGUUCCAUUAGCUAGUUGGUGAGGUAACGGCUCACCAAGGCAACGAUGGAUAGGGGAACUGAGAGGUUUAUCCCCCACACUGGUACUGAGACACGGACCACACUCCUACGGGAGGCAGCAGUGAGGAAUAUUGGUCAAUGGAGGCAACUCUGAACCACCCACGUCGCGUGAAGGAUGACGGCCCUACGGGUUGUAAACUUCUUUUGUAAGGGAAUAAAGUUAGUUACGUGUAGCUAUUUGCAUGUACCUUACGAAUAAGGAUCGGCUAACUCCGUGCCAGCAGCCGCGGUAAUACGGAGGAUCCGAGCGUUAUCCGGAUUUAUUGGGUUUAAAGGGUGCGCAGGCGGAAGAUUAAGUCGGUGGUGAAAUUUUGCAGCUCAACUGUAAAAGUGCCAUUGAUACUGGUUUUCUUGAGUGUGGAUGAAGUAGGCGGAAUUUGUGGUGUAGCGGUGAAAUGCAUAGAUAUCACGAGGAACUCCGAUUGCGCAGGCAGCUUACUAAACCAUAACUGACGCUCAGGCACGAAGGCGUGGGGAUCAAACAGGAUUAGAUACCCUGGUAGUCCA
rnacentral:rRNA from 1 species